AUUGAACGCUGGCGGCAGGCUUAACACAUGCAAGUCGAACGAGUGGCGGACGGGUGAGUAAUGUUUGGGAAUCUGGCUUAUGGAGGGGGAUAACUACGGGAAACUGUAGCUAAUACCGCGUACCAUAGGAUGAGCCCAUGUGGGAUUAGGUAGUUGGUGAGGUAACGGCUCACCAAGGCGACGAUCCCUAGCUGGUCUGAGAGGAUGACCAGCCACACUGGGACUGAGACACGGCCCAGACUCCUACGGGAGGCAGCAGUGGGGAAUAUUGCACAAUGGGGGCAACCCUGACGCAGCCAUGCCGCGUGGAUGAAGAAGGCCUUCGGGUUGUAAAGUACUUUCAGUAGGGAGGCGUUACCGACAGAAGAAGCACCGGCUAACUCCGUGCCAGCAGCCGCGGUAAUAC
rnacentral:rRNA from 1 species